AUUGAACGCUGGCGGCAGGCCUAACACAUGCAAGUCGAGCGGAUGAAGGGAGCUUGCUCCUGGAUUCAGCGGCGGACGGGUGAGUAAUGCCUAGGAAUCUGCCUGGUAGUGGGGGAUAACGUCCGGAAACGGACGCUAAUACCGCAUACGUCCUGAGGGAGAAAGUGGGGGAUCUUCGGACCUCACGCUAUCAGAUGAGCCUAGGUCGGAUUAGCUAGUUGGUGGGGUAAAGGCCUACCAAGGCGACGAUCCGUAACUGGUCUGAGAGGAUGAUCAGUCUCACUGGAACUGAGACACGGUCCAGACUCCUACGGGAGGCAGCAGUGGGGAAUAUUGGACAAUGGGCGAAAGCCUGAUCCAGCCAUGCCGCGUGUGUGAAGAAGGUCUUCGGAUUGUAAAGCACUUUAAGUUGGGAGGAAGGGCAGUAAGUUAAUACCUUGCUGUUUUGACGUUACCAACAGAAUAAGCACCGGCUAACUUCGUG
rnacentral:rRNA from 1 species